UACGUAGGGGGCAAGCGUUGUCCGGAAUCACUGGGCGUAAAGCGCGCGCAGGCGGUCAUCUACGUCUGGGGUGAAAGCCCGGAGCUCAACUCCGGGAUUGCCUUGGAUACGGGAUGACUUGAGGAUCGGAGAGGCAAGGGGAAUUCCACGUGUAGCGGUGAAAUGCGUAGAGAUGUGGAAGAACACCUGUGGCGAAGGCGCCUUGCUGGCCGAUUUCUGACGCUGAGGCGCGAAAGCGUGGGGAGCAAACAGG
rnacentral:rRNA from 1 species